rnacentral:rRNA from 1 species
CAUCACUACGCUAGAUGCAUAUCAAUAAGCGGAGGAAAAGAAACUAACAAGGAUUCCCCUAGUAACGGCGAGUGAAGCGGGAAGAGCUCAAAUUUGAAAUCUUAAAGGGUUUCCCUUUACGAAUUGUAGUUUAAAGAAGUGUUUUCUGUUGGAGUUUCGGUAAAAGUUCUUUGGAAUAGGACAUCAUAGAGGGUGAGAAUCCCGUAUUUGACCGUUACUUUCCAGCUGUGUGAUACACUUUCAAAGAGUCGGAUUGUUUGGGAAUGCAGUCAAAAAUGGGUGGUAAAUUUCAUCUAAAGCUAAAUAUUGGCGAGAGACCGAUAGCGAACAAGUACCGUGAGGGAAAGAUGAAAAGAACAUUGAAAAGAGAGUUAAACAGUACGUGAAAUUGUCAAAAGGGAAGCGUUUGACACCAGUGUUGUUUAGUUGAAAAUCAAUUCAAUAAUUUUUGAUUUUAAGUAGUAUUGACUUCAUCAGCUUGCUGCUUUCUUUUCGGAAAUUAUUGAAUGCACUUUUCAGUUAACAAGUCAACAUCAAUUUCUUUUGUUGUAAAAGGGUAAGAGGAAGGUGGCUUACGCUUCGGCGUAAGUGUUUAUAGCCUUUUACCUCUGCAAUCGGAGAGAUUGAGGACAGCAGCGUAGACUCCUUCGGGGUUAGAUACACUUGUGCUAAGCUAUAGCCUUGUAUAGACAACUUGUUGACUAUGCUCAGUCAUGUAGCUUACUCGCUUGUGCUAUUUUACCUACGCUUAGGAUGUUGACACACGCGCGUGCUCG